rnacentral:rRNA from 1 species
AACGAACGCUGGCGGCAUGCCUAACACAUGCAAGUCGAACGAGACCUUCGGGUCUAGUGGCGCACGGGUGCGUAACGCGUGGGAACCUGCCCUUAGGUUCGGAAUAACUCCCCGAAAGGGGUGCUAAUACCGGAUAAUGUCUUCGGACCAAAGAUUUAUCGCCUUUGGAUGGGCCCGCGUUGGAUUAGCUAGUUGGUAGGGUAAAAGCCUACCAAGGCGACGAUCCAUAGCUGGUCUGAGAGGAUGAUCAGCCACACUGGGACUGAGACACGGCCCAGACUCCUACGGGAGGCAGCAGUGGGGAAUAUUGGACAAUGGGCGAAAGCCUGAUCCAGCAAUACCGCGUGAGUGAUGAAGGCCUUAGGGUUGUAAAGCUCUUUUACCCGGGAUGAUAAUGACAGUACCGGGAGAAUAAGCUCCGGCUAGCUCCGUG